rnacentral:rRNA from 1 species
ACGACCAUACCCAUUGGAAUAUACGGGAUCCCGUCCGCUCUCCCCUAGUUAAACCAGUAAGGGCCAUUUUGUACUGUGAGACAGUUGGGUUCCCGCACUGGCCAAUCAACCGCCGGGUUU